rnacentral:rRNA from 1 species
GACAGAGGGGGCAAGCGUCGCUCGGAAUCACUGGGCGUAAAGGGCGCGUAGGCGGGAUGGCAAGUCGGUCGUGAAAUCCUUCGGCUCAACCGAAGAACGUCGGCCGAUACUGCCGUUCUUGAGGGAUGCAGAGGAGAUUGGAAUUCCCGGUGUAGCGGUGAAAUAUGUAGAGAUCGGGAGGAACACCGGUGGCGAAGGCGGGUCUCUGGGCAUCUCCUGACGCUGAGGCGCGAAAGCGUGGGGAGCAAACGGG